AUUGAACGCUGGCGGCAGGCCUAACACAUGCAAGUCGAGCGAGCGGCGGACGGGUGAGUAAUGUCUGGGAAACUGCCUGAUGGAGGGGGAUAACUACUGGAAACGGUAGCUAAUCCCGCAUACCAUCAGAUGUGCCCAGAUGGGAUUAACUAGUGGGUGGGGUAACGGCGCACCUAGGCGACGAUCCCUAGCUGGUCUGAGAGGAUGACCAGCAACACGGGAACGGAGACACGGUCCAGACUCCUACGGGAGGCAGCAGUGGGGAAUAUUGGACAAUGGGCGAAAGCCGGAUGCAGCCAGGCCGCGUGGGUGAAGAAGGCCUUCGGGUUGUAAAGCACUUUCAGCAGGGAGGCGUUACCCGCAGAAGAAGCACCGGCUAACUCCGUGCCAGCAGCCGCGGUAAUUC
rnacentral:rRNA from 1 species